CGAAGCCGUCGCAUCGGGAGUGAUCAAUGAAGGACUGGGAAGAGGAGGAGGCUCAGGAAGGGCGAUGUCAGAGCAAUCGUGAGAUUGAACGGAUCUUACGGUCUCUGUGACAGAGAUCACACCGGCACCGGAGGAUCCGGUUCGGGCCAAGCAGGAUCGGCUUGAAGAAAUGAGUAGCAGAAUGUAACCGAUCCUGAAUCGCGGCUGGUCGGUGAGUGAUAAAGAAAAAUAUUUUUUAUAUAAUAGUCGAUAUUUUAGUAAUAAUCAAUGCGAUUUACUUAGUAGACAUAAAUAUUUUAACAUUUGUAGAAUAUAAUAAUACUCUUGAGGCAUGAUUUGAUGCAUGAUCCUGAGACUGAUUUUCAACGACAAUUAUAUGUCGCGAAAUUUAUACGUACUUGUAUUUCGCUUGUAUUCUAUUCUUCGCUAACGGAUCCGGUCGUUGACAGAGGAGAUGAGGGCUUAUUAAUUUUCGUCUGGUGAAGUGAAGGAUUGUCGUGUAACAGAAGGCGCUCCUCGCGAGUUUCGAAGAACGGCAUUGUUUCAGCGCUGCGGCGGUGAAUGAGGCGUGAAUAAUUAAUUAGAUCAAUAACAAUCUAAUGGGGAGUGCUCGGCUAUUACGUUCGUCGUGCAACGUCGCCGAGACUGGGUACCUCGCAACGCGCUCUACGGCUUAAUUCAUGUUCGUUGACGGUGUGGCGGCGGUGCCGCCAGAUAAUAAGAAUAAUGUCCCGUGAUUAUAGACCAGCCCUCGUGGUAUCGCUUUGUUGCCGUCUUAUCAGCGGGGUAUGAAAACUCUUGGUCGUUCCUUCUAGCGGUAACUUAUCAUAAUCGCGCGGCCUUCGUAUGCAAAGGCACCCUGGCUUUUUGCGCGAAAAAUUCGCGCAGGUAACUUUAUGACAA